rnacentral:rRNA from 1 species
CAAUAGCGUAUAUUAAAGUUGUUGCAGUUAAAAAGCUCGUAGUUGGAUUUGUGGUUGAUGUUGGUCGCCCGACAUUCGUGUCGGUGUGGACCGGCGUCGCCAUCUUUGGGUGGAAUCUGUGUGGCAUUAGGUUGUCGUGCAGGGGAUGCCCAUCUUUUACUGUGAAAAAAUUAGAGUGUUCAAAGCAGGCUUACGCCGUUGAAUAUAUUAGCAUGGAAUAAUAAGAUAGGACCUCGGUACUAUUUUGUUGGUUUGAGCACUGAGGUAAUGAUUAAUAGGGACAGUUGGGGGUAUUCGUAUUCCAUUGUCAGAGGUGAAAUUCUUGGAUUUUUGGAAGACGAACUACUGCGAAAGCAUUUACCAAGGAUGUUUNCAUUAA